rnacentral:misc_RNA from 1 species
GAUGAAGAACGUAGUGAAAUGCGAUACGUAAUGUGAAUUGCAGAAUUCAGUGAAUCAUCGAAUCUUUGAACGCAUAUUGCGCUCUCUGGUAUUCCGGAGAGCAUGCUUGUUUGAGUAUCAGUAAACACCUCAACUUCCAUAUCUUUUUUGAAAUGGGAGUUGGACUUGAGUGAUCCCAACGCUUUUCCUCACCGAAAAGUGGCGGGUUACUUGAAAUGCAGGUGCAGCUGGACUUUUCUCUGAGCUAUAAGCAUAUCUAUUUAGUCUGCCUAAAAAACAGAUUAUUACCUUUGCUGCAGCUAACAUAAAGGAGAUGAGUUCUUGUGCUGACUGAUGCAGGAUUCACAAAGACAGCUUCGGCCGACUUUGUAAACUCGAUCUCAAAUCAAGUAAGACUACCCGCUGAACUUAAGCAUAUCAAUAAGCGGAGGA